AUGUAUCCCCAACCCCUCGGGUUGGUAUGGCAUUGUGUGAGAAAUAAACCAACGAAAAUUGUCCCAACUCUCCUAGUGUCAUCCACAACUAUCAAUGCUCAGGCUGAAAGGUCUAACACACCGCUCAUCUCCAUCGACUACUCAUCGUUGCCAAGGACGGUCACUUCGACGACAUCUUUGUCAUACCUUGCAAUUGCAUUGAUACCCACAUGGCCUUACUUUUGCGUAGCUUACCCAUCGAGACUAGCCAUUGAGUAUUGCCGGCAACGUGACUUGUGCAUAUUAGUGAUCAUACUCCAGAGCAUACAUACCAUACCAUAG
rnacentral:rRNA from 1 species